CCAAUGACGUGGACACAUUGCUCUCAACCUUUAACAUAUCGCUAUGUAAAGAAAUGAAAAACAAGGUAUUUAGAACAGAAAGUGUCCAAAUCUACUCACAAUCAGACAACAUGGGCUCUAUCCACCAGGGAACGGACGGACAGGAGCGAGAAUUUAGCAGAGAGGAAUAUUUGAUUCGUGCUCUGCCGAGGAUCAUUUCAUAUGAAAAUACUGCCGAUUUUCAUUUCUAUUUCUGACCCGAGGGCAUUCAUUAUUGAAUACGUCACAUCUGGCCUCCAGAACGCAUGUAGCCAAGACCACCUGAGAGCCUAUCUAUCAAGAUAAUAUCCAAGAAGCUGGCUGCUGAUGACACUGAACUUGGCCUAAAGCGAGCUCUGCUGGUGGCUCCGGGAGGAUGCAGAUUUAUCUUUCUGCUAUGGCUGACCUCACGGUGAACCGCGCGCUGGGGACGGUUCUUUUUUUCUGCCUGGCAUUGUCUGCCUUGCUGUGCAACGCAUAAGGGACCCCGAUUUGGACAUUUUAAUUGUGUAACAAUGGUGUAAUUUUCUCCCCAGACGUCACAAUGAUAAUGGCAUAGAAUAAUGGUUUUACUUAUUCUACACCACAAACUGUAAUGGAAAUAAAGUUACAUUUCUGUUUA